rnacentral:rRNA from 1 species
GACGAACGCUGGCGGCGUGCUUAACACAUGCAAGUCGAACGGAAAGGCCCUGCUUUUGUGGGGUGCUCGAGUGGCGAACGGGUGAGUAACACGUGAGUAACCUGCCCUUGACUUUGGGAUAACUUCAGGAAACUGGGGCUAAUACCGGAUAGGAGCUCCUGCUGCAUGGUGGGGGUUGGAAAGUUUCGGCGGUUGGGGAUGGACUCGCGGCUUAUCAGCUUGUUGGUGGGGUAGUGGCUUACCAAGGCUUUGACGGGUAGCCGGCCUGAGAGGGUGACCGGCCGCAUUGGGACUGAGAUACGGCCCAGACUCCUACGGGAGGCAGCAGUGGGGAAUAUUGCACAAUGGGCGGAAGCCUGAUGCAGCAACGCCGCGUGCGGGAUGACGGCCUUCGGGUUGUAAACCGCUUUCGCCUGUGACGAAGCGUGAGUGACGGUAACGGGUAAAGAAGCACCGGCUAACUACGUG